rnacentral:snoRNA from 1 species
AUUUGAUGAUGUGGGCAUUGUAUUUGAAGGUCAUUAAAUCUAUCCCAAGCUUCAUAAAAUUCUUCAUUAAGUUUUUGUCUAAAUGUGUGAAUUCUAUUACGAAUAUC